rnacentral:rRNA from 1 species
UACGGAGGGAGCUAGCGUUGUUCGGAAUUACUGGGCGUAAAGCGUGCGCAGGCGGUUUGUUAAGCCAGAUGUGAAAGCCCCGGGCUCAACCUGGGAACUGCGUUUGGUACUGGCAAGCUAGAGUACGGCAGAGGGGGGUGGAAUUCCACGUGUAGCAGUGAAAUGCGUAGAGAUGUGGAGGAACACCGAUGGCGAAGGCAGCCCCCUGGGCCGAUACUGACGCUCAGGCACGAAAGCGUGGGGAGCAAACAGG